rnacentral:rRNA from 1 species
CCUACGGGCGGCUGCAGUGGGGAAUAUUGGACAAUGGGGGCAACCCUGAUCCAGCCAUGCCGCGUGUGUGAAGAAGGCCCUCGGGUUGUAAAGCACUUUCAGUGAGGAAGAACGCCUGGUGGUUAAUACCCAUCAGGAAAGACAUCACUCACAGAAGAAGCACCGGCUAACUCCGUGCCAGCAGCCGCGGUAAUACGGAGGGUGCGAGCGUUAAUCGGAAUUACUGGGCGUAAAGCGCGCGUAGGUGGCUUGAUAAGCCGGUUGUGAAAGCCCCGGGCUCAACCUGGGAACGGCAUCCGGAACUGUCAAGCUAGAGUGCAGGAGGGGAAGGUAGAAUUCCCGGUGUAGCGGUGAAAUGCGUAGAGAUCGGGAGGAAUACCAGUGGCGAAGGCGGCCUUCUGGACUGACACUGACACUGAGGUGCGAAAGCGUGGGUAGCAAACAGGAUUAGAUACCCGUGUAGUC